AUGAACGCUGGCGGCAUGCUUAACACCUGCAAGUCGAACGGGAAGUGGUGUUUCCAGUGGCGAACGGGUGAGUAACGCGUAAGAACCUGCCCUUGGGAGGGGAACAACAACUGGAAACGGUUGCUAAUACCCCGUAGGCUGAGGAGCAAAAGGAGAAAUCCGCCCAAGGAGGGGCUCGCGUCUGAUUAGCUAGUUGGUGAGGUAAUAGCUUACCAAGGCGAUGAUCAGUAGCUGGUCCGAGAGGAUGAUCAGCCACACUGGGACUGAGACACGGCCCAGACUCCUACGGGAGGCAGCAGUGGGGAAUUUUCCGCAAUGGGCGAAAGCCUGACGGAGCAAUGCCGCGUGGAGGUGGAAGGCCUACGGGUCGUCAACUUCUUUUCUCGGAGAAGAAACAAUGACGGUAUCUGAGGAAUAAGCAUCGGCUAACUCUGUG
rnacentral:rRNA from 1 species